rnacentral:rRNA from 1 species
CAGUAGCCGCGGGAAUACGUAGGUGGCAAGCGUUGUCCGGAAUUAUUGGGCGUAAAGGGCUCGCAGGCGGUUUCUUAAGUCUGAUGUGAAAGCCCCCGGCUCAACCGGGGAGGGUCAUUGGAAACUGGGAAACUUGAGUGCAGAAGAGGAGAGUGGAAUUCCACGUGUAGCGGUGAAAUGCGUAGAGAUAUGGAGGAACACCAGUGGCGAAGGCGACUCUCUGGUCUGUAACUGACGCUGAGGAGCGAAAGCGUGGGGAGCGAACAGGAUUAGAUACCCGCGUAGUCCCUGUCUCUUAUAC